rnacentral:rRNA from 1 species
GACGAAGGAUCCAAGCGUUAUCCGGAUUCAUUGGGUUUAAAGGGAGCGUAGGCGGACUUAUAAGUCAGUGGUGAAAGCCGAUAGCUUAACUAUCGAACUGCCAUUGAUACUGUAAGUCUAGAGUACAGAUGAUGUUGGCGGAAUAUGACAUGUAGCGGUGAAAUGCAUAGAUAUGUCAUAGAACACCGAUUGCGAAGGCAGCUGACAAAACUGUAACUGACGCUGAGGCUCGAAAGUGCGGGGAUCAAACAGGAUUAGAUACCCUGGUAGUCCGCACAGUAAACGAUGAUAACUAGAUGUUUGCGAUAUACAGUAAGCGUCCAAGCGAAAGCGAUAAGUUAUCCACCUGGGGAGUACGCUCGCAAGAGUGAA